rnacentral:lncRNA from 1 species
CCACCGAGAGCCAGGUCGGAGCACGCAUGGGCGGCGUACGGCACGCAUUGGAAUCAGGGCCCCUGAAAUAGACCGCCGUUUGUACGGAUUCCCUCUGGGGAGGCAAGGAUCGUACAACAGACCAUCCCACGAAACACCGGCGACUGUACGGGGGGGGCCGAAGGAAAGCGAAGGGACCGCGGCUGCGUAGCGAGGCCAAAUCGCUGCGCCAUGCCGGCGACGACUUCGCGUAUAGGAGAGCCACGCUGGUGACGACCCCAAAAUUUAAUGAGGAGCGAGAACGGAAGCGAUCGGGUGAGGAGAAGUAGGCAGGAGCGCAUUAAUGAGGAGCGAGAGUGGGGAUGCGGCAGAUGGCCGCCGCGUGGCACUCGAACGUCUCGGAUGGGCACCGCGUAACACCUUUCCACGCCCCGCUGCUAUGCUUUUGGGAGAGUAGUGGUUUAUUUUUAGGGUGCACCCGGUGCACCAUUUUUUGUUUUCAAAAGAAAUAUGUAAAAAAAAAUUAUGAUUUAUAAUUUAAAAGCAUUUUGCAUAUACAUUUUUAGAUACCAUAAAAUAUAUAUCUAUUAUAUUUACUUAUAUUUAAAAAUAAAAAAGAACAUUUUAAAGUGAAAGAGGUGAAU